rnacentral:lncRNA from 1 species
GGAACAUAGCUUUUUAAGACACAGUGUUUGAACUGCAUUUGAGAUAGUGGACCAAUAUAAAAGUUCCAGACAUUAAAACCAGAAAUCAUAGCAACAUUAACAGGUCCGCACCGCGCCAAGGAAUAGAACCGAACCGAACCCACUACCUACAUGCACAGACAAGGCGAUUGCAGAUACGCGGUACGAAUGGGUUAUUAUUUUUAUAAGUUUUUGGAUAUGUAUU